AGACGUGCAAGAGUGCAGCAUCACUUUUAUUGUCUCAUGCAGAGCACUUAACAACAGCCUUAUCACGUCCCCUGAAGUAUGCAUCCGGGGCCAAAGGGAGGUUUGUUGUUCUCCGAGCGGGAGGAACUUUCUGCAGGACGUGGCCCGAGCUGUGUUGACAUGCGGGUUCCCACGAUCUCCUGCCCUUCCUCCAGAGCUGCUGCUUGCUCACAACUCCGGACAGGAAGACCACUGAGAGUUCUGCUUGGGGGAGGAGUCGGGACUUGUUCAGUACCAGCGUCCUGUGAAGUGUGCAGAGAACGCUUUCUGGUCCGUCACUAAAAUAUGGAUGAGCGGCACUGCAAAAGUUGCCAUCUUAAAAACUGCACUGGCUACCAUUAAAUCUGUGUGCUUUUCUGCAACACUGAAACCAGGACAGGUGUCUAUAACAACAUUUGAUAUUUGUGCCUUGUAUUUUCUCCGUACAACUAACUGAGACAGCGUUUCUCUUGGGAUCUGCGAUGUUGUAUCAUUUAAAUGAUCUGACUCAUAAUUUGAAAGCCGGUCUGAAGGAUGAAGGAUUCUUUUUGUUUGUUAUUUUCCAUUGAGUGAUUGAUGCCACAUUAAAAAGAAGCAAAAGGCUAUGUCUGUAUAUUUCUCAAGAUAAAUGUUUAAUUUGGAUCAUGAAACUAAAAUCUGCUUACCACUAUUGAUGAUUAUUUACAAAAUAGAAAACAUACAAAUAAAAGGUACGAGGACGCCACAAUAAUUCCACUCUACAAACAUAAAGGGAAGCUGACGAUAGAAUGAAUGUUCAAAAAUAUUUUAAUCAAAACUGGUUAUAGAUGUAACAUUGAACAAGAUCGUCACUUUAAAGAAAUAGGAUUCAAAGACUUUCAGCUCCAAAACUUCAAUAAAGGCAAGCCUACUGAGGAAGGAGAUGUCAUGAGGGGCUAAUCAGCCAAUCAGAGGUGGACUUCCCAUUAUGCAGCCAAUAAGAAAACGGAUUGUGUUUCUUCCUACUAAAAACCAACCCUGCCAACAAUAUACUGCUUAAAUGUUUUUAAAAAGCACUCAUGUGCAAAACAACCUCAGUCAUGAGAUAAUAUUAUGCUUCCAGUAACAUAUAAGCUUACACCUGAUAUGAAUGUCAAAGGUCUUCAACAUAUAAUGGCAACAAAUACAUAUAUACAAACAAAUACUUAUUUUCUGUCCAAACAAUUUACUGAUAUCAUAGACAUUCUCAAAUUUCACACAUCUCCAGAUGCCAUCUGUGUGAAAUAACACUGAACUUCAACUACAUCUAAAACAUUUUUGACAAGACCUGGGAGGAAAAAAAAGCAACUCUUUUGUUGGUUUGUUGGUAAAAAACCUAUAUCUCAGGUGUUUGUGUUCACUAAAAUACACCAAAAAAAAAAUAAAAAAUCAUGGAAUCAAUGCAUAGAUCACCAAAAAACAUAAAACCCAUAGAAUAAAUGAAAUAAGUGAACAAUGAGUUAAUUAUUUUUUAACAGAUUGCGGUGGAAAGCAGGGCAACAUUGUCAUGAGUACAGUAAAACACAGAGAAGAUUCUGGAAGGGAGUGAUGCGUGUAUCCGUUUGGAAAGUGCUGCCUCUGUUGUGCCUGUUUCAGGAACUCAGUGGUGUUAUUUUUGGACCAUUUCCACUCCAUGUCUUCAUCUCGCGAGUCUCGUGGCCGAUUUUGAAACGGGACAUCUUGGUUGUGUAGCGAGAUCCGCGACACUAAGUUGUAUUUCUGUGUCAAAGGGGUGAAUUGUUAACAGUAACUGCUAUUUUUAUGCGCCGAUGUGACAAUAGAGUUUACUGUAACGGCCUUAAAGAAGGAUCAGGAAGAUUCAGACAAUCGCAGGAAAGAGCAUCUAAUGUUAACUAAGCAACACUGUGUUGGUGGCAUGGCAUCAAAAGGAAAUUAACCAACCCGGAUUUUCACCAAGACUUACCCAAUGCGAGGCAAAAGUGACACAGAACCCGUUUUAAAAAAUAAA